ACAAAAAAUACAGGUGCGAUGAGUGACGUCAUCAUUGUUUUUCGUGUCUCGAAUAAAAGUGAAAGCAGAUAUUUAGAGUUGAUGUUUCUCCAUUUAAACAGCCAGAAUCGAUUCAAUACGGAAUAUCAAAGUGUUUCAUAGGAACUAAACCAUGAUUUUCGUGUAGCUGCUUCAUAGAAAGGCAGUGGAUUUUGUGAAUCUGUGUAAAUAAGAGUCAGUGCUGCAGAUCAGAUUCUGUUUCAUCAUGAAGGACACACAAACAUCCACAGAUCAAGAGGUUUUCUCCAGGAUGCAGUUCAGUUCAUCAGAAGAGAUCAGGAGCAGAGUCCAGCUGUGUGUCUGUGAGAAGUGAUGCGUCUAUAGAUCGUCCAAUAGAGUUUAAGAGUGGAGAUACAAAGACUGAUCUCAGUUCAGUUCAUCAGAAGAGAUCAGAAGCAGAGUCCAGCUGUGUGUCUGUGAGAAGUGAUGCGUCUAUAGAUCGUCCAAUAGAGUUUAAAAGUAGAAAUUCAAAGAAUAAACUCAGGUACAUUUCUAUAUGAAUAUUGUUAUAG